rnacentral:rRNA from 1 species
AUUGAACGCUGGCGGCAGGCCUAACACAUGCAAGUCGAACGAGUGGCGGACGGGUGAGUAAUGUCUGGGAAACUGCCCGAUUGGGGGGGAGAACUACUGGAAACGGUAGCUAAUACCGCAUACCAUCAGAUGUGCCCAGAUGGGAUUAGCUGGUUGGUGGGGUAACGGCUCACCAAGGCGACGAUCCCUGGCUGGUCUGAGAGGAUGACAAGCCACAUGGGAACUGAGACACGGUCCAGAGUCCUACGGGAGGGAGCAGUGGGGAAUAUUGCACAAUGGGCGCAAGCAUGAUGCAGUCAGGCCGCGUGUAUGAAGAAGGCCUUCGGGUUGUAAAGUACUUUCAGCGGGGAGGCGGUACCUGCAGAAGAAGCACCGGCUAACUCCGUGCCAGCAGCCGCGGUAAUAC